GACGAACCGAGCGAACGUUGUUCGGAAUCACUGGGCUUAAAGGGCGCGUAGGCGGGUGCUCAAGUCCGUGGUGAAAUCCUCCGGCUCAACCGGAGAACUGCCUCGGAUACUGGGCGUCUCGAGUGUGGUAGGGGUAUGCGGAACUAUCGGUGGAGCGGUGAAAUGCGUUGAUAUCGAUAGGAACUCCGGUGGCGAAGGCGGCAUCCUGGACCGACAUUGACGCUGAUGAGCGAAAGCUAGGGGAGCAAACGGG
rnacentral:rRNA from 1 species